AUUGAACGCUAGCGGGAUGCUUUACACAUGCAAGUCGAACGAGUGGCGGACGGGUGAGUAAUAUAUCGGAACGUGCCCAGUAUCGGGGGAUAACUACUCGCAAGAGUGACUAAUAACGCAACCUCUUGGAGCGGCCGAAAUCGGAUUAGCGAGUUGGUUGGGUAAAGGCUCACCAAGGCAACGAUCCGUAUCUGGUUUGAGAGGACGACCAGUCACACUGGGACUGAGAGACGGCCCAGACUCCUACGGUAUGCAGCAGUGGGGAAUUUUGGACAAUGGGGGAAACCCUGAUCCAGUCAUCCCGCGUGUAUGAGAAUGCCUUCGGGUUGUAAAGUACUUUUUGCAGAGAAGCGGUAUCUGCAGAAUAUGCACCGGCUAACGACGUGCCAGCAGCCGCGGUAAUUC
rnacentral:rRNA from 1 species